GACGAACCGUACGAACGUUAUUCGGAAUUACUGGGCUUAAAGGGUGCGUAGGCGGCGCAGUAAGUUGGGUGUGAAAUCCCUCGCUUAACCGAGGAAUUGCGCCCAAAACUACUGUGCUCGAGGGAGAUAGAGGUGAGCGGAACUUAGGGUGGAGCGGUGAAAUGCGUUGAUAUCCUAAGGAACACCGGUGGCGAAGCGGCUCUGGACCUCUACUGACGCUGAGGCACGAAAGCUAGGGGAGCAACGGGAUUA
rnacentral:rRNA from 1 species